rnacentral:rRNA from 1 species
AUCUUGCGCAAUGGGGGCAACCCUGACGCAGCGACGCCGCGUGCGGGAUGACGGUCCUAUGGAUUGUAAACUUCUUUUGUAUAGGGAUAAACCUACUCUCGUGAGAGUAGCUGAAGGUACUAUACGAAUAAGCACCGGCUAACUCCGUGCCAGCAGCCGCGGUAAUACGGAGGGUGCAAGCGUUAUCCGGAUUUAUUGGGUUUAAAGGGUCCGUAGGCGGGCCGAUAAGUCAGUGGUGAAAUCUCAUAGCUUAACUAUGAAACUGCCGUUGAUACUGUCGGUCUUGAGUAAAUUUGAAGUGGCUGGAAUAAGUAGUGUAGCGGUGAAAUGCAUAGAUAUUACUUAGAACACCAAUUGCGAAGGCAGGUCACUAAGAUUUAACUGACGCUGAGGGACGAAAGCGUGGGGAGCGAACAGG